rnacentral:rRNA from 1 species
UGAACCUGGUUGAUCCUGCCAGUAGUCAUAUGCUUGUCUCAAAGAUUAAGCCAUGCAUGUCUAAGUAUAAGCUUUUAUACGGUGAAACUGCGAAUGGCUCAUUAUAUCAGUUAUAAUUUACUUGAUCGUAAAUAGUUAGUUGGAUAACUGUGGUAAUUCUAGAGCUAAUACAUGCGUCAAAGCCCGACCUCUGG